UACGGGAGGGUGCAAGCGUUAUCCGGAUUCACUGGGUUUAAAGGGUGCGUAGGUGGGAUGGUAAGUCCGUGGUGAAAUCUCCAAGCUUAACUUGGAAACUGCCGUGGAUACUAUCAUUCUUGAAUAUCGUGGAGGUAAGCGGAAUAUGUCAUGUAGCGGUGAAAUGCUUAGAUAUGACAUAGAACACCGAUAGCGAAGGCAGCUUACUACACGAUUAUUGACACUGGAGGCACGAAAGCGUGGGGAUCAAACAGG
rnacentral:rRNA from 1 species